GGUAGUAGCAAAUAUUCAAGUGAGAUCCUUGAAGACUGUAGUGGAGAAGGGUUCCACGUGAACAGCAGUUGAAUGUGGGUCAGUCGAUCCUAAGAUAUUGGCUAGUGCCGUUUGUUAAAUAAAAUAGAGGAAUGGAGGUGUAAUGUAUCUGAUAAAUCAAAAGAGAGAGAGGUUAAUAUUCUCGUUGUACCUGGAUACGGAGAUAAAUGGUCACUGUGAGGAUUUAGCACGGAACGCAAAUGAAUUCGGAAACAUCCGGUUUAGCUGGAGAUAGGAAGUUGCAUCCGUAAAGCGCCAAGGUUCCUGUGGUGUCUAAUGAAAACGAAAAAUGGAAUAAUUCAUCCGUUUGUCAAAAACGUAUGAAAGAAUAAAAACAAUUUCCCUUUCAAUUUAAGUU
rnacentral:ncRNA from 1 species